rnacentral:rRNA from 1 species
UGGGGAAUAUUGCACAAUGGGCGAAAGCCUGAUGCAGCGACGCCGCGUGAGGGAUGACGGCCUUCGGGUUGUAAACCUCUUUCAGCAGGGACGAAGCGAGAGUGACGGUACCUGCAGAAGAAGCACCGGCCAACUACGUGCCAGCAGCCGCGGUAAUACGUAGGGUGCGAGCGUUGUCCGGAAUUACUGGGCGUAAAGAGCUCGUAGGCGGUUUGUCACGUCGGCUGUGAAAACCCAUCGCUCAACGGUGGGCUUGCAGUCGAUACGGGCUGACUUGAGUACUGCAGGGGAGACUGGAAUUCCUGGUGUAGCGGUGAAAUGCGCAGAUAUCAGGAGGAACACCGGUGGCGAAGGCGGGUCUCUGGGCAGUAACUGACGCUGAGGAGCGAAAGCGUGGGUAGCAAACA